GGAGAGGUGGCCGAGCGGCCGAAGGCGCUCCCCUGCUAAGGGAGUAUACCUCAUAAGGGUAUCCAGGGUUCAAAUCCCUGCCUCUCCGCCA
rnacentral:tRNA from 3 species